GCCAGACUCCUACGGGAGGCAGCAGUGGGGGAUAUUGCACAAUGGGGGAAACCCUGAUGCAGCGACGCCGCGUGGGCGAAGAAGUAUUUCGGUAUGUAAAGCCCUCUCAGCAGGGAAGAAGAAAUGACGGUACCUGAGUAAGAAGCACCGGCUAAAUACGUGCCAGCAGCCGCGGUAAUACGUAGGGGGCAAGCGUUAUCCGGAUUUACUGGGUGUAAAGGGAGCGUAGACGGAAAGGCAAGUCAGAAGUGAAAGCCCAAGGCUCAACCAUGGGACUGCUUUUGAAGCUGUCAAACUAGAGUACGGGAGAGGUAAGAGGAAUUCCUAGUGUAGCGGUGAAAUGCGUAGAUAUUAGGAGGAACACCAGUGGCGAAGGCGUCUUACUGGACCGAAACUGACGUUGAGGCUCGAAAGCGUGGGGAGCAAACAGGAUUAGAUACCCGCGUAC
rnacentral:rRNA from 1 species